GAUGAACGCUGGCGGCGUGCCUAACACAUGUAAGUCGAACGGUGAAGCCCGUCUUUGACGGGCAGAUCAGUGGCGAACGGGUGAGUAUCACGUAGGUGACCUGCCCCAAAGAGGGGAAUAACCCUGCGAAAGCGGGGCUAAUACCCCGUGUGAUCGGCGAUUCGUUUCGUCGAUUAAAGCUCCGGCGCUUUGGGAGGGGCCUGCGGCCCAUCAGCUAGUUGGUAGGGUAAUGGCCUACCAAGGCUAAGACGGGUAGCUGGUCUGAGAGGACGAUCAGCCACAAUGGCACUGAAACACGGGCCAUACUCCUACGGGAGGCUG
rnacentral:rRNA from 1 species